rnacentral:lncRNA from 1 species
GUCCGCUGUACACAUCACGAGUCUUGAUACCGUGUGUUCCGUUCCGCCACUUUGCCGAAACAAUACAGUCUUCAUCGUUCACCCGGUUCCCCUGCUGGACAGCCAAUUACCCAGAGCCAAUCGUGAGAGUAAUUACAUCAUUAUCAUCACCAGCCAUGCGCAUGCGGCAGCCCGCCCGCACGAUCUUGGCGCGGAUAUGCUAUAAAACCCGACGCUGUCACCACUGAUAGGUUAAAAGUGUGUGAGCGUAACGAGACACGACACUAACGUAGAACAAACGGGGACUCACUUCUCUCUUGGUAAUCGCUAGGAGGCAAGUCGGCAGAUCGUGCAGCGAAUGCUUUAAGAGUGGACACACAUUAACCAACGGCUCAGGUAGUUCAUCAACAGCAGAUCACAGGUAGUGCAACCAAUUUCGGUGUCUCUUCAGCAAAACCGGGUAGAACCAUGAAUAGUCUUUGUCACGUGCUCGUCCUCUCGGCUGCCUUUUGCUUAUUUCUGGCGCUUACGUCGGGCUACCCACUCCAACAGGCCGGCAACGCCCUAAGAGAGGACCUCAUGGAACGACGAAGCAGCCCACAAAGGCUCACAGUUGAUGACCUUCUAGACUUCUUAAAUGAGAGGUACCAGGAAAGCCCAGAUAAACGGCAGAUGCGGCAAACGGGACUUACCGCCAUUGAUAACGUGAAAGGCAUGUACUACAAUAAUAACCUUAAUAGAAUGUUGGCGGCCCUCCAACCUCACGUCCGCAGGCGUUAAAGAUUUCAGCAAAAGAGGCUUUCGCCGUCUCAACAGCUAUUCGCGACAUGACGUCACCGACUUGGGAACCUAGAUUUGAACCAGAAGUGGACAACAACGCUAUAUUUUUCUCUUCUUUUUUUCAGUAUUUGGGGAAGUAAAACAACAUUAAAUUUCAGUACGCCUAACACGAAUGCCUAAACUGUUGUGAACAAUUAUCCACCAUUCCAGAGAAAAAUAUAUAUAUUUGUCUAUAAUUGUUGAAUUAAACACAGUUAACAGACGGAAAUACAUUUAUUGAUUUAUGAAGAAUGCUGGGGAGGGUUUUACAUAUUUUUGUGGAUUUGGAAGGUGUAAUUUUAAGUUUAAUUUUAAAAUGGAACAUUGAACCUUUGACGAGUGUAUGCUUGCAGUGUAGCUUGAACAUUAGCAUAGGAUAAAAACGUAAACCACACAUGCAGAAGUUGGCUGCACAUAUCAGAUAUUUAUUUUGACUUUCAUAGUGUAAUUGUAGUUCUCCAGAGCUGUCAAAUUUUAUGCCAAGCCACGGAUUUUCGACGUCACUUCAAAUUUUUAUCCGAGUCCUUUUUGGGCCUGUCGACAGACAUUACUCAAACACGCUAUCGCCUUUAGACUCAAAAUUUCAAUUUGAGUCAAACUGAAAGAGAAGUCGGGCAUAAUAAGCUAUGAAACCUUACAAAUGACUUAAUCUAUUCAUACCAGAUGAAGGUAAGUUUCCUUGCUGUGAAUACAGAAAAGCACAUAUAAGUUGUCCAUUUCUUUGAUCAACAACGAUUGUGCAAAGCCUUUAGGAUAUGAAAUUUGCUCCAUUGAUUAAGACUAACAGUUCACAUUCUCUGCUUAGUUUUUGAGUUUGUAACGUGCGUCAUUAGGCCCAUUAUAGCAAGAAGUUGCUUUCAAUCAAGGCCUUCUAGAGUAUUCUACUGUGAGAUGUAAACAUAAAUGAGUAUUGUUAUAAGGUACUAAUUCCAAAUUUAAGGAGUAUUUUAUGCAUGGCGAGAAUCAUUACUGUCAUACGGAACAAAUGUGGCUGUUAUUCCUUCUUCCUUUCUUCUGUUGCCCAAGGGCUUCUGAAGGCUAGUUGAAUUCAUACGUAUAAAUUUUGUCAACCUUCUCAUUUUGUAAAGGUACAGGUAAGCAAUUUGCGUUUAUAAGAGCUUGACAAUAGUGACUGCAAUGUAUAUAUUUCACAGUAGUGUUUAUUAGACCGAAAUCUCCGCCAGAACAUUCCUUUUGGCAGCAGGGGUUUUAAAUAAGUUUUACAAGUUUCUUUCAGUGUGUGGAAUAUUAUUAUACCCAAUCUAGGGUGCGCAAAUAAAAUACAGAAUACAGACUCAGUA